rnacentral:tRNA from 1 species
AUGGGUAUAGCUCAGUUUGGUAGAGCGCUUGCUUUGGGAGCAAGAGGUCGAGGGUUCGAGUCCCCCUGCCCGUACCA